rnacentral:rRNA from 1 species
GGAAUAAAUUAAAGUAAUAACCAAUAAAUAAUCACAGUGAAUCGCAAGAGACAUGUAUUAUUAUUUAUUUGAGUUGAACAAAUAAAAUAAUUGAAAAUAUUAUAAAAAAUUUAAAAUUAUAUUAUUUUUUUAUUUUAGAAAAAAAACAAUGUAAAAAGUUAGUUUUGAUAUUUGUUAAAAUUUAAUUUAUUCUCCCGUCUUGUAACACGGGCCAAGGAGUUCAGUAUAUAAGCAAAUUCUAUAAUAUGAGCAAUAUUAUGUAGAAUAUAAUGAAAGUAAAUAAUUAAUUUUCUAUUAAAACCACUUUUUUAAAAACCUAAUGGUUUGAAAAAUUUAGAGUGAAAGUUUAUCUGCUGAGACCCGAAAGAUGGUGAUCUAUGACUGAAUAGGGUGAAGUCAGGGGAAAACUCUGAUGGAAGCUCGAAGGGAUUCUGACGUGCAAAUCGAUCCUCAAAUUUGG